AUUGAACGCUGGCGGCAGGCCUAACACAUGCAAGUCGAGCGGAUGAAGGGAGCUUGCUCCUGGAUUCAGCGGCGGACGGGUGAGUAAUGCCUAGGAAUCUGCCUGGUAGUGGGGGAUAACGUCCGGAAACGGGCGCUAAUACCGCAUACGUCCCGAGGGAGAAAGUGGGGGAUCUUCGGACCUCACGCUAUCAGAUGAGCCUAGGUCGGAUUAGCUAGUUGGUGGGGUAAAGGCCUACCAAGGCGACGAUCCGUAACUGGUCUGAGAGGAUGAUCAGUCACACUGGAACUGAGACACGGUCCAGACUCCUACGGGUGGCAGCAGUGGGGAAUAUUGGACAAUGGGCGAAAGCCUGAUCCAGCCAUGCCGCGUGUGUGAAGAAGGUCUUCGGAUUGUAAAGCACUUUAAGUUGGGAGGAAGGGCAGUAAGUUAAUACCUUGCUGUUUUGACGUUACCAACAGAAUAAGCGCCGGCUAACUUCG
rnacentral:rRNA from 1 species